UGGCUCAGUCGGUUGAGUGUCUGACUUCGGCUCAGGUCAUGAUCUCACAAGGUUUGUGGGUUCAAGCCCCAC
rnacentral:tRNA from 1 species